AGUUUUUGGACAAGUUUCAUUCAUGUCCUCAUACUCACACCAUCCCUCUUCAUAAAGUUAAAGCACCAUUUAGGUGUCCCUGAGAAAGCAUCAAUGUUUUAUUCUCAUGCAAUUUUUUCUUCUUCUCAGUGUAU